rnacentral:rRNA from 1 species
UACGAGGGGGGCAAGCGUUGUUCGGAAUUAUUGGGCGUAAAGCGCGUGUAGGCGGUCCGGUAAGUCCGCUGUGAAAGUCGGGGGCUCAACCCUCGGAUGCCGGUGGAUACUGUCGGGCUUGAGUACGGAAGAGGCGAGUGGAAUUCUCGGUGUAGCGGUGAAAUGCGUAGAUAUCGAGAGGAACACCUGCGGCGAAGGCGGGUUGCUGGGCUGAUACUGACGCUGAGGCGCGAAAGCCAGGGGAGCGAACGGG